UGCCAGCCGCCGCGGUAAUACGAGAGGUGCAAGCGUUGUUCGGAGUGACUGGGCGUAAAGCGCACGUAGGUGGGCUUGUAAGUCGGAUGUGAAAGCCCCGGGCUCAACCUGGGAACUGCACCCGAAACUAUAAGUCUUGAAUGCUCCAGAGGUUGGUAGAAUUCCUGGUGUAGGAGUGAAAUCCGUAGAUAUCAGGAGGAAUACCGGAGGCGAAGGCGGCCAACUGGACGAGUACUGACACUGAGGUACGAAAGCGUGGGUAGCAAACAGGAUUAGAUA
rnacentral:rRNA from 1 species